CAACACGAAACCUCACUGGGACGUCCGAAAAAGAUCCCCACAUCCCACGUCCCGCGUGGGCAAUCCCUUAGACGUCCCAGGAACAGCCGCGGAGGGCAACCACCAUGAAGUCCAUCAUGAGUACUUCGGCGGUCGUAAUGUGGACUUUCCUCCCGCUCUCCCACUUUCCUUCUUCUACUCUCUCGCAAACACUCGCAAACUGCGAGGCCGAAUUAUGGCGUCCGUUAGCAACCAGAUGGCGCUAAUCAUUUUAAUUUCUCACUAGCUUUGUAAUGUUGCUCACAGCAUUGUUUGAGUAACGCAAAGCUGCUUACGUAGACGAUAGAGAAUAACGUGCCGCGGAUAAUUGCAUGUCAUGGUUUUGAAGUUGGUAACAAGGAAACGGUCAUACGGUACUGCGGCUGAGUGAAACUGAACGCUAAAAGUGGCGGGAGCAGGACGGUUGUCCGUUCUUUGUAUUUAUGGCUUCCAUGAUGGCGGCGUGCGUCCGUGCGUAUUGCCGCAGUUUGAUGUACAAGUGAGAGACAUGGACGGCAGUAUAGGUAUGUUUGCUCUUUUUUAGGUAACGAUAGUUUGUCACGCAUUCUGUUUUUCAUAAUGCAGUGAAGUUUUGCAGCGUACGGACAUAAUUUUCUAGCAGUUCAGAGAGAACACGUUUGACAACGUAGAGAGCGUUUAGUGUGUUUUUCCCCAGUCUGAGGGUUCGUUAUGAAGACGUUUGACAAGUUGAGAAGUUGUUUGAGAACUCGCUACCAAGUCCAGAACAACACUGUAAGUUAGAGAUGAGGCUAGAGACAGUGAGUUUUAUUAUCAAAUACAAAUAGUAUGAAAACACUGGCCUGUGACAAACAUGUAUCUUGCACCGUAACACGUUGAAUGUCAUUACAGGGAAUCAGUCAAUGAAGGAUUUGCCAAGUUACAGCAGCCUUCUAUCCAUCACAAGCUUUUGGCCUGAACGCAGACAUGAUUGCUCUCAGCAGAAGAUUACUCACUUCCAUCUUCUCAGUUCAGAGGAACAAGUCAGCGUCAUUUGCAAGGUGCCCCGCUUUUUCAUUUCUAUCCCAAGCAGAGCACCCAGUGAUGCAAUUCUUAACAUUUUCCUAUCUAUAUAGGUAACCACAACAGUUCUUUCACAGCGGCCUGUCCUGCAGCAUCCCAAUGAACAACUACUGUACGACCCGUAUGGGAAUUUUUUUUCAUGAGCAGAUCAACAAUGCCAAGGUUACCUCACGAAGAUCCGGGUGCCUCAAGCGUCUCUACCUUCUUGGGAGGGAAAUGAAAUAGACAACUAUGUCGUGACUGUACCACGCAUCGCGAGCUCAGGAACGUCACAAAUCAAGAGCAGCAUUUGGAAGCAACAAAGAGGACAUUUAAACUGUGUGUACUCAGAUA